GGUUAAGUUAGAAAGGGCGCACGGUGGAUGCCUUGACACUAGGAGUCGAUGAAGGACGGGACUAACGCCGAUAUGCUUCGGGGAGCUGUAAGUAAGCUUUGAUCCGAAGAUUUCCGAAUGGGGAAACCCACCAUACGUAAUGGUAUGGUAUCCUUAUCUGAAUACAUAGGGUAAGGAAGACAGACCCAGGGAACUGAAACAUCUAAGUACCUGGAGGAAGAGAAAGCAAAUGCGAUUUCCUGAGUAGCGGCGAGCGAAACGGAACAUAGCCCAAACCAAGAGGCUUGCCUCUUGGGGUUGUAGGACAUUCUAUACGGAGUUACAAAGGAACGAGGUAGACGAAGCGACCUGGAAAGGUCCGUCGUAGAGGGUAACAACCCCGUAGUCGAAACUUCGUUCUCUCUUGAAUGUAUCCUGAGUACGGCGGAACACGUGAAAUUCCGUCGGAAUCUGGGAGGACCAUCUCCCAAGGCUAAAUACUCCCUAGUGAUCGAUAGUGAACCAGUACCGUGAGGGAAAGGUGAAAAGCACCCCGGAAGGGGAGUGAAAGAGAUCCUGAAACCGUGUGCCUACAAAUAGUCAGAGCCCGUUAACGGGUGAUGGCGUGCCUUUUGUAGAAUGAACCGGCGAGUUACGAUCCCGUGCGAGGUUAAGCUGAAGAGGCGGAGCCGCAGCGAAAGCGAGUCUGAAUAGGGCGUUUAGUACGUGGUCGUAGACCCGAAACCAGGUGAUCUACCCAUGUCCAGGGUGAAGUUCAGGUAACACUGAAUGGAGGCCCGAACCCACGCACGUUGAAAAGUGCGGGGAUGAGGUGUGGGUAGCGGAGAAAUUCCAAUCGAACCUGGAGAUAGCUGGUUCUCCCCGAAAUAGCUUUAGGGCUAGCCUUAAGUGUAAGAGUCUUGGAGGUAGAGCACUGAUUGGACUAGGGGUCCUCAUCGGAUUACCGAAUUCAGUCAAACUCCGAAUGCCAAUGACUUAUCCUUAGGAGUCAGACUGCGAGUGAUAAGAUCCGUAGUCAAAAGGGAAACAGCCCAGACCGCCAGCUAAGGUCCCAAAGUGUGUAUUAAGUGGAAAAGGAUGUGGAGUUGCUUAGACAACUAGGAUGUUGGCUUAGAAGCAGCCACCAUUUAAAGAGUGCGUAAUAGCUCACUAGUCGAGUGACUCUGCGCCGAAAAUGUACCGGGGCUAAAUACACCACCGAAGCUGCGGAUUGAUACCAAUGGUAUCAGUGGUAGGGGAGCGUUCUAAGGACAGUGAAGUCAGACCGGAAGGACUGGUGGAGUGCUUAGAAGUGAGAAUGCCGGUAUGAGUAGCGAAAGACGGGUGAGAAUCCCGUCCACCGAAUGCCUAAGGUUUCCUGAGGAAGGCUCGUCCGCUCAGGGUUAGUCAGGACCUAAGCCGAGGCCGACAGGCGUAGGCGAUGGACAACAGGUUGAUAUUCCUGUACCACCUCUUUAUCGUUUGAGCAAUGGAGGGACGCAGAAGGAUAGAAGAAGCGUGCGAUUGGUUGUGCACGUCCAAGCAGUUAGGCUGAUAAGUAGGCAAAUCCGCUUAUCGUAAAGGCUGAGCUGUGAUGGGGAAGCUCCUUAUGGAGCGAAGUCUUUGAUUCCCCGCUGCCAAGAAAAGCUUCUAGCGAGAUAAAAGGUGCCUGUACCGCAAACCGACACAGGUAGGCGAGGAGAGAAUCCUAAGGUGUGCGAGAGAACUCUGGUUAAGGAACUCGGCAAAAUGACCCCGUAACUUCGGGAGAAGGGGUGCUUUCUUAACGGAAAGCCGCAGUGAAUAGGCCCAAGCGACUGUUUAGCAAAAACACAGCUCUCUGCGAAGCCGUAAGGCGAAGUAUAGGGGGUGACACCUGCCCGGUGCUGGAAGGUUAAGGAGAGGGGUUAGCGUAAGCGAAGCUCUGAACUGAAGCCCCAGUAAACGGCGGCCGUAACUAUAACGGUCCUAAGGUAGCGAAAUUCCUUGUCGGGUAAGUUCCGACCCGCACGAAAGGUGUAACGAUUUGGGCACUGUCUCAACCAGAGACUCGGUGAAAUUAUAGUACCUGUGAAGAUGCAGGUUACCCGCGACAGGACGGAAAGACCCCGUGGAGCUUUACUGUAGCCUGAUAUUGAAUUUUGGUACAGUUUGUACAGGAUAGGCGGGAGCCAUUGAAACCGGAGCGCUAGCUUCGGUGGAGGCGCUGGUGGGAUACCGCCCUGACUGUAUUGAAAUUCUAACCUACGGGUCUUAUCGACCCGGGAGACAGUGUCAGGUGGGCAGUUUGACUGGGGCGGUCGCCUCCUAAAGUGUAACGGAGGCGCCCAAAGGUUCCCUCAGAAUGGUUGGAAAUCAUUCGUAGAGUGCAAAGGCAUAAGGGAGCUUGACUGCGAGACCUACAAGUCGAGCAGGGACGAAAGUCGGGCUUAGUGAUCCGGUGGUUCCGCAUGGAAGGGCCAUCGCUCAACGGAUAAAAGCUACCCCGGGGAUAACAGGCUUAUCUCCCCCAAGAGUCCACAUCGACGGGGAGGUUUGGCACCUCGAUGUCGGCUCAUCGCAUCCUGGGGCUGUAGUCGGUCCCAAGGGUUGGGCUGUUCGCCCAUUAAAGCGGUACGCGAGCUGGGUUCAGAACGUCGUGAGACAGUUCGGUCCCUAUCCGUCGUGGGCGUAGGAAAUUUGAGAGGAGCUGUCCUUAGUACGAGAGGACGGGGAUGGACGCACCGCUGGUGUACCAGUUGUUCUGCCAAGGGCAUAGCUGGGUAGCUAUGUGCGGAAGGGAUAAGUGCUGAAAGCAUCUAAGCAUGAAGCCCCCCUCAAGAUGAGAUUUCCCAUAGCGUAAGCUAGUAAGAUCCCUGAAAGAUGAUCAGGUUGAUAGGUUCGAGGUGGAAGCAUGGUGACAUGUGGAGCUGACGAAUACUAAUAGAUCGAGGACUUAACCAU
rnacentral:rRNA from 1 species